rnacentral:rRNA from 1 species
GCAAGAUUAAAACUCAAAGGAAUAGACGGGGACCCGCACAAGUGGUGGAGCAUGUGGUUUAAUUCGAAGAUACGCGAAGAACCUUACCUAGCCUUGACAUUGAUAGAAUCUUCCAGAGAUGGAGGAGUGCCUUUCGGGGAACUUGAAAACAGGUGCUGCACGGCUGUCGUCAGCUCGUGUCGUGAGAUGUUGGGUUAAGUCCCGCAACGAGCGCAACCCUCGUCAUUAGUUACUAACAGUUCGGCCGAGGACUCUAAUGAGACUGCCUUCGUAAGGAGGAGGAAGGUGAGGACGACGUCAAGUCAUCAUGGCCCUUACGGCUAGGGCGACACACGUGCUACAAUGGUUAGGACAAUGAGAAGCGAUACCGCGAGGUGGAGCAAAUCUAUAAACCUAAUCUCAGUUCGGAUUGUAGUCUGCAACUCGACUACAUGAAGCUGGAAUCACUAGUAAUCGUAGAUCAGCCAUGCUACGGUGAAUACGUUCCCGGGUCUUGUACUCACCGCCCGUCACACCAUGGGAGUUGAUUUCACCCGAAGCGGGGAAGCUAAACUGGCUACCCUCCACGGUGGAAUUAGCGACUGGGGUGAAGUCGUAACAAGGUA